rnacentral:rRNA from 1 species
GACGAACGCUGGCGGCGUGCCUAAUACAUGCAAGUCGAACGAACCGCUCCUAAGUGCUUGCACUAGGGCAAGGUGAGUGGCGAACGGGGGAGUAACGCUUGGGUAACCUACCUCAUAGGGGGGGAUAACAGGCGGAAACGACUGCUAAUACCGCAUUGGACAUAAGGUCACAUGAUGCGGUGAGGAAAGUUGGCGCAAGCGAUCACGACGACAUGGACCCGCGUUGCAUUAGCUAGUUAGUGGGGGAAAGGCCUCCCCAGGAGAGGAUGCUGAGCCGACCUGAGAGGGUGAUUGGCCACAUUGGGAGUGAGACACGGCCCAAACUCCUACGGGAGGCAGCAGUAGGGACUCUUACGCAAUGGACGAAAGUCUGACGGAGCAACGCCGCGGGAGUGAAGAAGGUCUUCGGCUCGGAAAGCUCUGUUGGUAGUGAAGAACAGCGGCUAGAGUAACUGCGAUGCGAGUGACGGUACCGAACGAGAAAGCCCCGGCUAACUACGUG